rnacentral:rRNA from 1 species
AGAGUUUGAUCCUGGCUCAGGAUGAACGCUGGCGGCGUGCCUAACACAUGCAAGUCGAACGAAGCUUGACGGAUGAUUUCUUCGGAAUGAAACCAGAUAUGACUUAGUGGCGGACGGGUGAGUAACACGUGAGCAACCUGCCUUUCAGAGGGGGAUAACGGCUGGAAACGGUCGCUAAUACCGCAUGACGUGUUCGGAUGGCAUCAUCUGAACAUCAAAGAUUUAUCGCUGAAAGAUGGGCUCGCGUCUGAUUAGAUAGUUGGUGGGGUAACGGCCUACCAAGUCUACGAUCAGUAGCCGGACUGAGAGGUUGAACGGCCACAUUGGGACUGAGAUACGGCCCAGACUCCUACGGGAGGCAGCAGUGGGGAAUAUUGCACAAUGGGGGAAACCCUGAUGCAGCAACGCCGCGUGAAGGAUGACGGUUUUCGGAUUGUAAACUUCUUUUCUUAGUGACGAAGACAGUGACGGUAGCUAAGGAAUAAGCAUCGGCUAACUACGUGCCAGCAGCCGCGGUAAUACGUAGGAUGCAAGCGUUAUCCGGAUUUACUGGGUGUAAAGGGAGCGCAGGCGGGACUGCAAGUUGGAUGUGAAAUACCGUGGCUUAACCACGGAACUGCAUCCAAAACUGUAGUUCUUGAGUGAAGUAGAGGCAAGCGGAAUUCCGAGUGUAGCGGUGAAAUGCGUAGAUAUUCGGAGGAACACCAGUGGCGAAGGCGGCUUGCUGGGCUCUAACUGACGCUGAGGCUCGAAAGUGUGGGGAGCAAACAGGAUUAGAUACCCUGGUAGUCCACACUGUAAACGAUGAUAGCUAGGUGUGGGGGGUCUGACCCCUUCCGUGCCGGAGUUAACGCAAUAAGCUAUCCACCUGGGGAGUACGACCGCAAGGUUGAAACUCAAAGGAAUUGACGGGGGCC